AGCUUUCAGGGCCAAAGUAGGUUGCGAGUGGGAGGCAGUGGCUGUAGCUCCACGGCUGGGGGGAGAUGGCGCUGCAGGUAUCGGAGCGGGGACUGAAGAGCGUCGUGUGGCGGAAGAUAAAAACAGCCAUGUUCGAUGACUGCCGGAAAGAAGGCGAAUGGAAGAUAAUGCUGUUAGAUGAGUUUACCACCAAACUUUUGUCGUCAUGCUGCAAAAUGACAGACCUUCUAGAGGAGGGCAUAACUGUUAUAGAGAAUAUUUAUAAGAAUCGUGAACCUGUCAGACAAAUGAAAGCUCUUUAUUUUAUCUCUCCAACACCAAAAUCUGUAGAUUGUUUCUUGAGAGAUUUUGGAAGUAAAUCUGAGAAAAAAUACAAAGCAGCGUAUAUAUACUUCACUGACUUUUGUCCUGACAGUCUCUUUAACAAGAUUAAAGCAUCUUGCUCCAAGUCAAUAAGAAGAUGUAAGGAAAUAAACAUUUCCUUCAUUCCACAGGAAUCUCAGGUUUAUACUCUUGAUGUACCGGAUGCAUUCUAUUACUGUUACAGUCCAGACCCUAGUAAUGCCAGCAGGAAAGAAGUGGUCAUGGAGGCAAUGGCUGAGCAGAUUGUGACAGUGUGUGCCACUCUGGAUGAAAACCCUGGAGUGAGGUACAAGAGUAAACCUCUAGAUAAUGCCAGUAAGCUUGCACAGCUGGUUGAGAAAAAGCUUGAAGACUACUACAAAAUUGAUGAAAAAGGCCUAAUAAAGGGUAAAACUCAGUCCCAGCUCUUAAUAAUUGACCGUGGCUUUGACCCUGUGUCCACUGUCCUGCAUGAACUUGAAAGACCCCCGAAGGGAGACCCUCACUCAAGCCUCGGGACAGCCGCGGACCCAAGAAGACACUGAGACCGAACUCAAAAUGUAGAAGGCAAGAUUUAAUAAAGUAACAGCAAGAAAGCACAUAGACCAGAGCUCUGGGGUCGAAACUCAUACACCUAGUAUGGUGUAGAGGAGAAUCGACCUCGA